rnacentral:rRNA from 1 species
CCUACGGGAGGCAGCAGUGGGGAAUAUUGCACAAUGGGGGAAACCCUGAUGCAGCAACGCCGCGUGAGUGAUGAAGGCCUUCAGGUUGUAAAGCCCUGUCUUCAGGGAAGAUAAUGACGGUAUCUAAGGAGGAAGCCACGGCUAACUACGUGCCAGCAGCCGCGGUAAUACGUAGGUGGCGAGCGUUGCCCGGAUUUACUGGGCGUAAAGGGAGCGUAGGCGGACUUUUAAGUGAGAUGUGAAAUACUCGGGCUCAACUUGAGUGCUGCAUUUGAAACUGUAAGUCUGGAGUGCAGGAGAGGAGAAUGGAAUUCCUAGUGUAGCGGUGAAAGGCGUAGAGAUUAGGAAGAACACCAGUUGCGAAGGCGAUUCUCUGGACUGUAACUGACGCUGAGGCACGAAAGCGUGGGGAGCAAACAGGAUUAGAUACCCCUGUAGUC